GAAAUGCGAUAAGUAAUGUGAAUUGCAGAAUUCCGUGAAUCAUCGAAUCUUUGAACGCACAUUGCGCCCUCUGGUAUUCCGGGGGCAUGCCUGUCCGAGCGUCAUUGCGAACCCCUCAAGCACGGCUUGUGUGAUGGGCCCUCCCGCGUCUUGGUCGUCAAGACGGACCCGAAAUGCAGUGGCGGCUUCGCGGUUAUCCGAUCAGCCAGAGCGUAUGGGGACUCUCUCUCUUGUCACACGCCCGCGGCGCGGACCGACGCCUGUCGACCUUUAUUCAUCUUCUCUCGGUUGACCUCGGAUCAGGUAGGGAUACCCGCUGAACUUAAGC
rnacentral:misc_RNA from 1 species